AGAACAAGCAGAAUGCCACACCAGUGGAGAGCUUAGCACGGCAGGUUUUGGAGUCUUGUUUCCUGAUAUUUGAACAUCUCACCUCUGUUUGGAUAGUAAGAGCUACUCGUUUCUACCACUGACUGUGUUUGCUUUGCAACAUGGAUGUUUCAUCUCCACAAAUAGCACAAGCCUGGAGGAGUUUUGCCAUAUGGUGGAGUUGCUAAUGCUAACAGUUAGCUUCUACCAGCCAAGACGUUCUCUGAUGCUUCCUGGACCAUAACCAACAACAGCUUUCCCCGUUGCAAGCCAAGAUGGGGGGAAAUAUCUGCAGCCAAGCACACGGACACAUCACAACAUCCACCACUGGGAUCGGAAGAUUUGGGAUAAAAUGAGAAACGUGAUACAGGCACGCUGCGCAGCAGGUGAUGGUUCAUCCUCACAUGGAGAGAUGCUCCAGAGCAGCCACUGACACACACAGGAGCACAGAACAGAGGGCCCGACAUGAUGCGAAUAGAGAUGCUGCAAAAAAUAACUCCCUUUUAUUUACAGUUCAUGGAGAAUGAGGAAUGAAUGUGUCUCCUGUCUGCAUGUUGAAGACUUUUUUUAUUUUAACAGCUUUGCUACUCAUUCAUGUGUUUGCAAUACUGAUGAGGAAGCAGAGAAUAACAUACAGGUGAAAAGAAAACACAAUAAUCUGCUCUGAUUGGGUGUUAGAUCCUUCAAAUAUAAAUCCUCAUCAUCUGAAGUUCUUGUGUUUUUAUGAAAAA